rnacentral:tRNA from 1 species
GGAGAGGUGGCCGAGAGGCUGAAGGCAGCCGCCUGCUAAGCGGUUAUAGGGUUAAUCCCGUAUCCAGGGUUCGAAUCCCUGCCUCUCCGCCA